rnacentral:rRNA from 1 species
UGGGGAAUAUUGCACAAUGGGGGAAACCCUGAUGCAGCGACGCCGCGUGAGUGAAGAAGUAUUUCGGUAUGUAAAGCUCUAUCAGCAGGGAAGAAGACGACGGUACCUGACUAAGAAGCCCCGGCUAACUACGUGCCAGCAGCCGCGGUAAUACGUAGGGGGCAAGCGUUAUCCGGAUUUACUGGGUGUAAAGGGAGCGUAGACGGCGGAGCAAGUCUGAAGUGAAAGCCCCGGGCUUAACCCGGGAGCUGCUUUGGAAACUGUACUGCUAGAGUGCUGGAGAGGUAAGCGGAAUUCCUAGUGUAGCGGUGAAAUGCGUAGAUAUUAGGAGGAACACCAGUGGCGAAGGCGGCUUACUGGACGGUAACUGACGUUGAGGCUCGAAAGCGUGGGGAGCAAACAGGAUUAGAUACCC